CAAGGCUGCUCAGAACCUCAGAGCAGGCUGGGGCCCAGGGAUCCAUCCUGGCAGUGAGGCUUGGCUGGAUGGGUGUCCAGAGCAAAGCUCUAGCUCAGGGCCAGCCAUGCAAAAGACAGAUGCUGCCCGGGGAAGGGAAGCUCCCAGCUCCUGGCUGUAGACUGAGCUGCACCCAUCUUGGGCAAGGAAGUAAGCAGGUGGCCCCGGCACCAAAUGUCACCCAGCUCCGGUGAAGCCAUUUGCUGGCCUGACUGGAGCCAGGACAGUGACAUGGAGCACCCACCCCCCCGCCCCCAUCCCUGGCUCCCAUCUCCAGAGCAGCCCUUGGCUCCUGGCUGUAUUCAGGUCUGCUGGGAUCCCUAAGGCUUCCAGGGAAGGCACGUCUCCGGCAUCCAUGCAGGUUUGUUGGAGUGAUGUCUCAUUCCCCCCACUGGGACACAGGCUCCAUGGGAGCCAGAUCCCUGACUGCUGGGUCUGUUUUGCCCCUGGCAGUGAGCAACAGUGCCCGACUCUGUGUUCAAAACAUGAAGCUUGAACCAAGUGGGUGAGAGCGCCCUGCUCCAACAACCUCAAGGCAGAAUUCUGACCCUUCCAGGAAUCUCUUGGCCACCAACAGCAACCUGCAACUUGGGACAAGCAACAGAGGCAUCGCAGGAGGCACAGGCCUUUACUUCUACCUGUCCUCAGAGGCUGUCACCCUGUCCCUCACCUCUGAGGUCUUCCCACAUCAUGAACUGGUUGGAUGCCUGCCUGGCACCUCGUUCCAGCUGUAGGAAUGAAGGCCCUGCUGGUGACUUUCAGCCUUAGAGGCCACCCGGUUCCUAGAGGUCCCUGCAGUGCUUUGUCACGUGGGCUUUCCAAACGCAGCUGGUUAUUCCAUCCAGCCAGCAGGGAGAGUCUUCAGAGCAAAUGGCUGGCAGGAUGGGGUCUUGUCAACAUAACGCAACCAUGGUAACAACAUCUGUUCGCUCUGCCGUAUCCUAUUGGUGAGAAGCAAGUCACAAGUCCCACCCACACCCAGGGGGGUGGGUUUCCACGAAGGUUUGAACACCAGGAGGCAAGGGGCUGGGGGCUGCCAGGCAAGUGUCUGUCACACAGACCUAUCAUUUCCUGAAAAGAUUAUCCUUUCGUGAAUUGCCUGCACUUUUGUCAAAAAUCAAUGGGCCAUAUUUGUGUGACUCUAUUUCUGGACACUCUUCUGUUCCAUUCAUCUAUGUGUCUGUCCUUUAGCCAAUAACAUAAUAUCCUGUUUCAGUAAAUUUCUCCUAAAUCUGGAAAUCAGGUCCUUCAGGCCCUCCAAAUUUGUUGGUC